ensembl:snRNA U6 U6 spliceosomal RNA
GUGCUUUGCUUUGGCAGCACAUGCACUAAAAUCAGAACGAUACAGAGAUGAUAUGGCCCUGCUCAAGGGGACACGAAAAUUCAUGAAACGGUCUAUAUUUAA